AGGUGUUGUGGUUAAUAACCACAGCAAUUGACGUUACCCGCAGAAGAAGCACCGGCUAACUCCGUGCCAGCAGCCGCGGUAAUACGGAGGGUGCAAGCGUUAAUCGGAAUUACUGGGCGUAAAGCGCACGCAGGCGGUCUGUCAAGUCGGAUGUGAAAUCCCCGGGCUCAACCUGGGAACUGCAUUCGAAACUGGCAGGCUAGAGUCUUGUAGAGGGGGGUAGAAUUCCAGGUGUAGCGGUGAAAUGCGUAGAGAUCUGGAGGAAUACCGGUGGCGAAGGC
rnacentral:rRNA from 1 species